rnacentral:rRNA from 1 species
UACGUAGGGGGCAAGCGUUGUCCGGAUUUAUUGGGCGUAAAGAGCGUGUAGGCGGCCUGAUAGGUCAGCUGUGAAAACUCGAGGCUCAACCUCGAGACGUCGGUUGAAACCAUCUGGCUAGAGUCCGGAAGAGGAGUGUGGAAUUCCCGGUGUAGCGGUGAAAUGCGCAGAUAUCGGGAAGAACACCCGUGGCGAAGGCGGCACUCUGGGACGGUACUGACACUGAGGCACGAAAGCGUGGGGAGCGAACGGG